CUCUUAACACCAAAAAUAUAAAAGCUCUGUCUCCUGGCAUUUCAUAUGCUCUCUGUUUCUCUCUCCCAGAGUAUGUAAGCAAGAGAAUCUCGUUUUCAAACUACCUUUGAACCGAAAAAUGAAGACCUUCUGCAGAUUUUUGGUCGUUUUUUCUCUGGUUGUACUUGUGGAAUCCGCAUGCAACAGUACAGACCAAGAACUGGUCUUCAAGGCUUUCAAAUCAGUCAAUGGAUUUAAUCGUUCUUGGUUUCAGUCUGCAGAUUGGAACUGUUCAAGGCCUCAUAUUACAGAAAUAAGGCUUCCCUCCAGAAAUUUAAGCGGCAUCAUCUCAUGGAGGUUCCUCGGGAGCUUGUCACAGUUGCGGAUUCUCGAUGUCUCUGGGAACUCUCUGCAAGGGUCUGUGCCUGGUUGGUUUUGGUCCCUUUCAAGCUUGGCAUAUGCUAAUUUGUCCAAGAACCGGUUUGGAGGGAGCAUUGGAUUUGAACCCACCACGAGAAAUGGUUCCUUCUCGUCGGUUCAGAUGCUCAAUCUGUCAACCAACAGGUUCACCAAUUUGGCCCGGCUCGGUGGUUAUCCGGAGCUUAGAGUUCUUGACCUCUCGCGCAACAAUUUCCGAGCUUUGCCUUCUGGGUUCGCCAACCUCACCAAGCUAGUGCACCUCAAAAUUUCAAGCUGCAAAAUGUCAGGCAAUGUAAAACCUAUCUCGGUUCUUCGGUCAUUAAAAUAUUUAGACGUGUCCAACAACUCCAUGAAUGGUACUUUCCCUUUUGAUUUCCCUCCCCUUGGUAUGCUCAACUUCCUUAACAUUUCGCUUAACAAUUUCACACUAGUAGUUGACCCAGACAAGUACCGGAGAUUUGGAAAAUCCGCGUUCAUCCAUUCUGGGACCUCAGUUUUCAAUACUUCCAAAACGCCAAGCAUUGAUCAUGUCCAACCUCAUUUCAAAACCCCACCUCACAGUCGCAGACCCGUCCAAAAACACAACCCUUUGAACAAAAACUCCAGCACUAAAAACCCAAAAUCAAAAACCAAAGCUCUGGUUCUGGGUCUAACAUGUGCAUCUGCAUCUGUCUUUGUUUUCAUGGCCAUCUGUUUGGGCUUGUUGUACAGAAGGAACAGACUUGCAAGACAGAACAAAUGGGCAAUCUCCAAACCGGUCCAAUUGCCCUUCAAGUACGAGAAAUCAGGGCCGUUUUCGUUCGAGACGGAGUCGGGCACGUCAUGGGUCGCUGACAUCAAAGAACCAACCUCGGCUCCAGUGGUGAUGUUCGAGAAGCCACUGAUGAAUCUGACCUUCAAGGAUCUGAUCGCCGUCACUUCACACUUCGGCAAGGAGUCCCAGCUCGCAGAAGGUAGGAGUGGGCCCGUGUACAGAGCCAUCCUCCCGGGAGAAAUCCACGUGGCAAUCAAGGUCCUGGAAAACGCCAGGGACGUCGAUCACGACGAUGCCGUAUCCUUGUUCGAGGACCUUUCCCGGCUCAAACACCCCAACCUACUCCCCCUCUCUGGCUACUGCAUUGCAGGGAAAGAGAAGCUGAUCUUGUACGAAUACAUGUCCAACGGCAACUUGCACCGGUGGCUUCACGAGCUACCGACCGGGGAGCCCAAUGUGGAGGACUGGAGCGGCGAUACGUGGGAGCUGCACCAUGCCUCUGGAUCCCAACUAUCAUCACCGGAGAAAUUGGUAUGGGUCACGCGCCACCGCAUUGCUGUGGGCAUAGCGCGAGGGCUGGCAUUCCUCCACCAUGCCGGAUCCAAACCCGUUGUGCAUGGCCGCCUUGUAGCUUCUAACGUGUUACUAUCCGAGAGUUUCGAGCCACGUAUUAUGGAUUUCGGAUUUCGAAAUAUGAGGACACAAGAUGCGGGCCAAUGGAGCACGGAGACGGACGUGUAUUGUUUCGGGGUGGUACUAAUGGAGUUGCUAACGGGUAGGGUAGGGUCCGCUGAGACGGUGGUGUGGGUGAGGAGGUUGGUGAGGGAAGGUGUGGGGGCAAGAGCGCUAGACCCGAGGGUGAGGCUAGGAGGGGAAGAGCUAGUGAGGGAGAUGGUGGAGAGCCUCCGAGUCGCGUACUUGUGUACGUCGGAAUCACCUGGGAAGAGGCCCACCAUGCAACAGGCCUUAGGUCUACUCAAGGAUAUACAUCCCGCUCAUGGUGCGGAUCUCAUUCGUCUCGACCCUGUUUUGUCCCAGCUUCAAGCCCCGUGAUAAUGGAGUGCCACCCUCGUGUACUUAAUUUGAAGCGCAUGCCAAUAGAAGCCUCACAAAGAGGGUACAGAGGCUGGAGACGUUUCUGCGUCAUUCAAUGCUUGAUUAUUUACACAAAUCAUUCUCAUGAUGAUCCUCUGAAGCUGGCAUUUCAAUUCUCAGUUGGAAGUAUAUGCAAAUUGGAGUAAAAAAAAAAAAGGCAAAAGAGAGUUGAACGAAUAAUGUAUCGUAUGUAAAGAGACAGCGAAUUCAACGAAAUGCCGUGCUCUGCAGGGGCUCUUAACACUUAGUAAUACCAGUUAAAUUGCCACUUGCCCCGCGCCCUGUCCGUCAUGCAUGGUGUUGCUGUAAUUUGCUGCGCACACUUUUCUUUAUGGAAAGAAAGAAAAAAGGUUGCUGAAUGGCAUACAAAUCGGCUUAGGACUAAGUGCUUUACCCAGUGUUGUCUUUUGGACCAUAGAGGUGGGACUCUCUAGGAGUUUCUUAUCUUUCAUCCUUUUAGCUUUCAUGUCUUUGAUACUUUUGCUUUGGAUAGUCUUUUCUUUUCUGGCAAAUUACUUGAUUAUAUUACAUAAAUAAGAAAGAUAAUCUGGUUUCCAUUAA